AUUUCCAAACGGAAUCAUGGUAUGAUGGUAGUGAUAUUUUCCUCUCUCUCCAUCUCAUUAGGAGUUGAAAAAAAACAUUAAUAAUAAAAAAUAACCUUUCGUUCACCAUUCAGUACAUAUCACGUUGUCUAAGUAAUUACGGAUAGAGGUUGUAGGGCCUUAACAUACCACGGCAAAUCAAAUUCAAUCUGACAUAAGGGGGUUUUGAUCGCAGAAAGCUAACGGAUCAAAUCCAACAAAUUGGUUACAAAUUAGUCUUCUCCCGUUUAUCAUUUUUUUUUUGCAUGUUUGAAUCUUGAAACUAUCUUUAUUUGUGUCGCAUUCUAAGUGUUUACCUAUUUUAUUUUGAUUUGAACUUGCAAGUUCUACCUGUUGCAUACCCAUUUUCUUAUUUUUAGCAUACUGCGCUAUCCCUAGAUAGAUUAUCGUUGAAGAUACGUAUGUUGACUAGAAAACAAAGAAACAGCCAAUUAUGGAUUUCCAUUUAGCAUGAGUGUCUCGAGCCUAUGCUUAUAACUUUACCUUCUGCCUUAUUCGACGGGUUCGUUCAACAUUGACAGCAGACAACAAAAAUUUUCUUUGGCGGGAAACUGGACAUGCCCCGAAGACUUAAAGAAGAAAACAGUGCAAGAGAAUUUCAAAUGAAUUUGAAAAAUUUAACACUUUAAAUGAAAUAUGGUUUCGUUUAUAAAACCAACCCGAGGCAAGCGAUUUCCGUUAGGCGGAGAGAAAUUUAUGGCAAAGAAUUUAAGACUCUAACGAGCUAUAGGAUAUGUCCACGUGAAGUGCAGGUCAUACCAUUUCGAAACGUCAGGAUCAAACCGUUAACAAGAAAAGAGAAAAGCAAAUUUUAUCAUGACCUUGAUUCGUGAAUUAUAAGGGAGGUUCUGUAUCGACCGCUGUAUUACGCAAGCGCUGGUGUCAACGACCACUGAGGGCAGCAUAUGUUUUGAUUAGGGGGAAACAAUGUAGCUUGUUUUCGUCUCUUCCUUGAGAUCAACUCUUUUUUAAAAAAUUUGGGAACCUAGCAUCUGGGCAGCUCUGACAUAGAUGUAAGUUUCACGUGAAAAGAAAAAUCGUACUGACGUUAAAAACGCUAAAAAGAGGAAGUAAAUCGGCUGAUCUUAGUCUCCUCGCCACGACUGGAAAACUGAAAAACAAAACAAAAUAAAAAUGAGAAAAUCGUAAGUGACUUCUUUUCUAUUCCCGCCCAUCGAAAACUUCUUUAUUUGAAAGACGGAGCGUGGGUAUUUUAAACCUGUUUUCAGUUUUUCCUGGACCUAGACAAUCCAUGAUUAUUAUACGUACAGUUGUAAUUUGCAGCUAAUAUGAGAUUUUCACGCAAGUGGGCAUGAUUCCACCGAUUGCUUUGUGUGUAAAAUUGCUCUACUGGUUGCUAGGAUCGGAAGACUAAAGAUUUACCUUGACCCACAAUAUCGGUCUGUAGUUUUGAAAUAAAGGAAAAUUAUAGCAGCAGGAGUUCUGAUCUCCUCUAUCCAGGUACAUUUCCCCAGGUCAAAUUUGUUCAACGUCCCUUUGGGCUUUGUUCUCCGACAUUAGAGAAAAAACGCCAGCCGUUCGAUGUGCCACUGACCGUUUCUUGAACUUUCCAAUCACCUUCCGCCUUUUUAAAGAAAAAAUAAAAGGUAAAUUCAAUGACGGUAGAGAGAAGACUAUUCGAUUGGACCAGUGUUUUUAAUUAGGACUAAUAUAAUGGCCAAUGAGAAAGAAAAAAUUUUUAUUCUUAUGUUUUUAAUCUUUUUAACAAAUUAUCCAAUUGCCUUGCAUUUUAUUUUCGGUCUACCCCAGAUGACAAAUUUAGCUCAAAUAUAAAAAAUUUUGAAUCCGAAAAUGUCCGCCAUCUGUUGGUUAAACACAAACUUUCUAUCCAUAACCUAAGUAUCCGGGCUACAGCAGCGACGAGCAAACGAUUGAAGCUAUAAUCUUCUUUACAUUAUCUUCCUACUAACGAUCCAGUCUUUUUCAAAACAUUUUUUAUAAAUUUAUAAUUUUACAACCAGCUGUUAUGAGUUUAUCCGCUGUGUGAGUAAAAUACAGAUUGUGCUGACGGCCUGACGCUGCUAGCCUAGUUUAUUAUUUAUCAAUUUCAAAACAAUAGCAGUAUGCAAUAUUAUGUACAAAAGCAAUCAAUUACUUUACUCCGAGCAUCUUUUUGUUUUGCUGUAUGUCUUUGCAUUUUUGUUUUGCGUGUUUGACUGUUUAUUAAAUAAACACUGUCUGUUUUCCGUCGUCGUCCGACCAUAUACUAUGUAUUAGGGCCACUUUCUUUG